rnacentral:rRNA from 1 species
CAGUCGCCGCGGGAAUACGAAGGGUGCAAGCGUUAAUCGGAAUUACUGGGCGUAAAGGGUGCGUAGGCGGUCGUUUAAGUCUGUUGUGAAAUCCCCGGGCUCAACCUGGGAAUGGCAAUGGAAACUGGACGGCUAGAGUGUGUCAGAGGAUGGUGGAAUUCCCGGUGUGGCGGUGAAAUGCGUAGAGAUCGGAAAGAACACCAACGGCGAAAGCACUCUGCUGGGCCGACACUGACACUGAGAGACGAAAGCUAGGGGAGCAAAUGGGAUUAGAUACCCGCGUAGUCCCUGUCUCUUAUAC